rnacentral:rRNA from 1 species
AUUGAACGCUGGCGGCAUGAUUUACACAUGCAAGUCGAACGGUAACAGGCCGCAAGGUGCUGACGAGUGGCGAACGGGUGAGUAAUGCAUCGGAACGUGCCCAGUCGUGGGGGAUAACGCAGCGAAAGCUGCGCUAAUACCGCAUACGAUCUCUGGAUGAAAGCGGGGGACCGAAAGGCCUCGCGCGAUUGGAGCGGCCGAUGUCAGAUUAGGUAGUUGGUGGGGUAAGGGCCCACCAAGCCAACGAUCUGUAGCUGGUCUGAGAGGACGACCAGCCACACUGGGACUGAGACACGGCCCAGACUCCUACGGGGGGCAGCAGUGGGGAAUUUUGGACAAGGGGCGCAAGCCUGAUCCAGCAAUGCCGCGUGCAGGAAGAAGGCCUUCGGGUUGUAAACUGCUUUUGUACGGAACGAAACGGUCCGGGUUAAUACCCUGGGCUAAUGACGGUACCGUAAGAAUAAGCACCGGCUAACUACGUGCCAGCCGCCGCCGUAA